rnacentral:rRNA from 1 species
CCUACGGGGGGCAGCAGUGAGGAAUAUUGGUCAAUGGCCGGAAGGCUGAACCAGCCAUGCCGCGUGAAGGUCAGUGCCCUAUGGGCGUUAAACUUCUUUUGUGCGGGAGCAAUAAUGGUCACGUGUGGCCAGACGAGAGUACCGUACGAAUAAGCAUCGGCUAACCCCGUGCCAGCAGCCGCGGUAAUACGGGGGAUGCAAGCGUUAUCGGGAUUUAUUGGGUUUAAAGGGUGCGUAGGCUGGGAGGUAAGUCAGCGGUGAAAUGCCCCCGCUCAACGGGGUGAAGUGCAAUUGAUACUGCCUGGCUGGAAUGCGGAUGCGGUGGGAGGAAUGUGUGGUGUAGCGGUGAAAUGCAUAGAUAUCACACAGAACACCGAUUGCGAAGGCAUCUCACGAAUCCGCGAUUGACGCUGAUGCACGAAAGCGUGGGUAUCAAACAGGAUGAGAUACCCCAGUAGUC